rnacentral:rRNA from 1 species
AGUGAACGCUGGCGGUGGGCCUAACACAUGCAAGUCGAACGGCAGCACAGUAAGAGCUUGCUCUUACGGGUGGCGAGUGGCGGACGGGUGAGGAAUACAUCGGAAUCUACUUUUUCGUGGGGGAUAACGUAGGGAAACUUACGCUAAUACCGCAUACGACCUACGGGUGAAAGCAGGGAUCUUCGGACCUUGCGCGAUUGAAUGAGCCGAUGUCGGAUUAGCUAGUUGGCGGGGUAAAGGCCCACCAAGGCGACGAUCCGUAGCUGGUCUGAGAGGAUGAUCAGCCACACGGGAACGUAGACACGGUCCAGACUCCUACGGGAGGCAGCAGUGGGGAAUAUUGGACAACGGGCGCAAGCCUGAUCCAGCCAUACCGCGUGGGUGAAGAAGGCCUUCGGGUUGUAAAGCCCUUUUGUUGGGAAAGAAAAGCAGCAGGUUAAUACCCCGCUGUUCUGACGGUACCCAAAGAAUAAGCACCGGCUAACUUCGUG